rfam:Spirosoma linguale DSM 74 plasmid pSLIN04, complete sequence.
GACUCUGUAGCUCAAUAGGCAGAGCAAUUGGUAGUCAAAAGUCAAUAAAUGACAGUUCGAAUCUGUCCGGAGUCA